CUCGUCUCCCCUAUAUUCAAGCCAUCAUUAAAGAAUCAUUUCGGAUUCAUCCACCAAUUCCAUUGAUUAGCAGGAAAGCAGUAGAAGACUGUAAAAUUGGCAACUACGUAAUUCCUAAAGACACUGUGUUGUUUGUGAACCUUUGGUCCAUGGGUAGGGACCCCAAAAUUUGGAAGAACCCAUUGGAAUUUCAGCCAGAACGAUUCUUAUCACAGUCAAAUAGUGAGAUUGAUGUUAGAGGAUUGCAUUACCAAUUGCUGCCAUUUGGAACUGGGAGAAGAGGCUGCCCUGGCCUUUCUUUAGCCAUGCAAGAGUUGCCAGCAACUCUAGCAGCUAUGAUUCAGUGCUUCAAUUUCAAAGUAACGAGUCCGGAUGGUGUGGUUGAUAUGUCUGAACGCCCACAAUUAUCAUCUCCAAGAGCACGAGAUCUUAUGUGUGUGCCAGUUGCACGUUGUCCUCGUAAUAUCCUAAAUUAAGAUGUAUGUUGAAAUUAAAGUGUCUUUAUAAAUGUUCAGCCCUUGUCUCUAUUUAAUGGGUAAACUUAUGUUACAUUUGAUGUAAGUAACAACAAUGACGUGACCAAUUGACUCACGUAAGAGCAGUACGUGGCGGUAAGGGACAAUAUUAAAAACAUGUUCAAGGUAAUUAUUUUCAUUUUGGUGCUCCCAUUCCUAUGGACAUAUUUAGUAGCUACCACAUCUUAAGUGUGAAUAUGAUCUAAGCCUAUUAGAGGUCUCAUAUCUAAAUCAAAGGUUUGUUUAAUACUGAGGUGUCAAAAAGAAAUUAUAGUUGUGAAAUAAAAUUUGACAUAAAUAUAAUUUUAAAUAUAUUUAUGACAAAACUAGUAAAUAUUUUAAGUUUCUUUUUUUUUUAUCAAAUAAUUAGUCGAUAAAAUCGCCUUAACAAAAAUUCACAGUUAUAAGUGUUUGCCAUGAUUUUUAAGUUACAACUUCUCAAUAAUAGUACCAAAUGGACCAUAAAUCAAAUCUUUAACAAAAGCAUCAAGUUAAAAACUCUAACAAAAAAAUAAAUAAUAAAUAAAUAAAUCUUAUCUUUAUAACAAUGAAUCUCCUUGUUCUAACAGAUGUCUUGUUGCUUUUGAUUAAUAGGAAGCAACACAUAUUUUUUUUAGAAUUUUUUUACCUAACAUGUAACAUCUUUGUUGCUAUCUGUCCAGGAUUUCCUCACAGCUGGCACAGACACUUCAUCCAUGACAGUGGAAUGGGCAUUAGCAGAGCUCAUAAACCAUCCAAUGGUGCUUCAGAAAGCACAGCAAGAGAUUGAUCAAGUUGUGGGAAGAAACAGGCUUGUUCAAGAAUCUGACUUUCCUCGUCUCCCCUAUAUUCAAGCCAUCAUUAAAGAAUCAUUUCGGAUUCAUCCACCAAUUCCAUUGCUUAACAGAAGAGCACUAGAAGACUGUAAAAUUGGCAACUACAUAAUUCCUAAAGGCACUCUGUUGUUUGUGAACCUUUGGUCCAUGGGUAGGGACCCCAAAAUUUGGAAGAACCCGUUGGAAUUUCAGCCAGAACGAUUCUUCUCACAGUCAAAUAGUGAGAUUGAUGUUAGGGGAUUGCAUUACCAAUUGCUGCCAUUUGGCACUGGGAGAAGAGGCUGCCCUGGCCUUUCUUUAGCCAUGCAAGAGUUGCCGACAGCUCUAGCAUCUAU
rnacentral:lncRNA from 1 species